GGGGGUGUAGCUCAGUGGUAGAGCGCGUGCUUAGCAUGCACGAGGUCCUGGGUUCAAUUCCUAGUACCUCCA
rnacentral:tRNA from 2 species